AGUCCUAUGGCCGUAGAUACUAGUAUACAGUUUAAUGGCUUAUAAACCUCACGGCUGCCAGGCCGGCAGCUUGCAAUGCAGCACAAUCAAGUGCUGCACUUC
rnacentral:rRNA from 1 species